GUGUUGACGUGAUGUGAUUUCUGCCCAGUGCUCUGAAUGUCAAAGGGAAGAAAUUCAAUGAAGCGCGGGUAAACGGCGGGAGUAACUAUGACUCUCUUAAGGGAUCCAAAUGCCCCCCCC